AACGAACGCUGGCGGCGUGGAUAAGACAUGCAAGUCGAACGGAAUUACUUUUGUAGCAAUACAGAAGUAAUUCAGUGGCGAACGGGUGCGUAACACGUGGGCAAUCUGCCGAGAAGUGGGGGAUAGCUCGCCGAAAGGCGAAUUAAUACCGCAUGUGGUGAGGGAAGACAUCUUCCUGAAUCCAAAGCCGGGGUAACCUGGCGCUUUUUUGAGGAGCCCGCGGCCUAUCAGCUGUUGGUGAGGUAACGGCUCACCAAGGCUUUGACGGGUAGCUGGUCUGAGAGGACGACCGGCCACACUGGGACUGAGACACGGCCCAGACUCCUACGGGAGGCAGCAGUGGGGAAUCUUGCGCAAUGGGCGAAAGCCUGACGCAACGACGCCGCGUGAGGAAUGACGGCC
rnacentral:rRNA from 1 species